rnacentral:rRNA from 1 species
UAAUACGAAGGUCCCAAGCGUUAUCCGGAUUUAUUGGGUUUAAAGGGUGCGUAGGCGGGCUAUUAAGUCAGUGGUGAAAGCCUCAAGCUUAACUUGAGAAUUGCCAUUGAUACUGAUGACCUUGAGUACAUUUGAAGUGGGCGGAAUGUGUCAUGUAGCGGUGAAAUGCUUAGAUAUGACACAGAACACCGAUUGCGUAGGCAGCUCACUAAACUGUAACUGACGCUGAGGCACGAAAGCGUGGGGAGCAAACAGGAUUAGAUACCCUGGUAGUCCACGCCCUAAACGAUGAUCACUCGAUGUGUGCGAUACACUGUACGCGUCCGAGCGAAAGCAUUAAGUGAUCCACCUGGGGAGUACGGCCACAAGGCUG